UAGGGAAUCUUCCGCAAUGGACGCAAGUCUGACGGAGCAACGCCGCGUGAGUGAAGAAGGAUUUCGGUUCGUACAACUCUGUUGUUAGAGAAGAACAGCGCAUAGAGUAACUGUUAUGCGUGUGACGGUAUCUAACCAGAAAGCCACGGCUAACUACGUGCCAGCAGCCGCGGUAAUACGUAGAUGGCAAGCGUUGUCCGGAUUUAUUGGGCGUAAAGCGAGCGCAGGCGGUCAAUUAAGUCUGAUGUGAAAGCCCCCGGCUAAACCGGGGAGGGUCAUUGGAAACUGGUUGACUUGAGUGCAGAAGGGGAGAGUGGAAUUCCAGGUGUAGCGGUGAAAUGCGUAGAUAUAUGGAGGAACACCGGUGGCGAAAGCGGCUCUCUGGUCUGUAACUGACGCGGAGGCUCGAAAGCGUGGGGAGCGAACAGG
rnacentral:rRNA from 1 species